GACGAACGCUGGCGGCGUGCUUAACACAUGCAAGUCGAACGGAAAGGCCCCUUUGGGGGUACUCGAGUGGCGAACGGGUGAGUAACACGUGAGUAACCUGCCCUUGACUUCGGGAUAACUUCAGGAAACUGGGGCUAAUACCGGAUAGGAAUCCUUGCUGCAUGGUGGGGGUUGGAAAGCUUCGGCGGUUUUGGAUGGACUCGCGGCUUAUCAGCUUGUUGGUGGGGUAGUGGCUUACCAAGGCUUUGACGGGUAGCCGGCCUGAGAGGGCGACCGGCCACAUUGGGACUGAGGUACGGCCCAGACUCCGACGGGAGGCAGCAGUGGGGAAUAUUGCACGAUGGGCGGAAGCCUGAUGCAGCAACGCCGCGGGCGGGAUGACGGCCUUCGGGUUGUAAACCGCUUUCAGCAGGGGCGAAGCUUGUGGUGACGGUACCUGCAGAAGAAGCACCGGCUAACUACGUG
rnacentral:rRNA from 1 species